GUCGAGCGCGGGAAGCAAGCAGAUCUCCUUCGGGAGUGACGCUUGUGGAACGAGCGGCGGACGGGUGAGUAACACGUGGGCAACCUACCUGUAAGACUGGGAUAACUCCGGGAAACCGGGGCUAAUACCGGAUGAAACAAAGCGUCGCAUGACGCAAUGUUAAAAGGCGGCAUAUGCUGUCACUUACAGAUGGGCCCGCGGCGCAUUAGCUAGUUGGUGAGGUAAAGGCUCACCAAGGCAACGAUGCGUAGCCGACCUGAGAGGGUGAUCGGCCACACUGGGACUGAGACACGGCCCAGACUCCUACGGGAGGCAGCAGUAGGGAAUCUUCCGCAAUGGACGAAAGUCUGACGGAGCAACGCCGCGUGAGUGAUGAAGGUUUUCGGAUCGUAAAACUCUGUUGUUAGGGAAGAACAAGUGCCAUUCGAAUAGGUUGGCACCUUGACGGUACCUAACCAGAAAGCCCCGGCUAACUACGUGCCAGCAGCCGCGGUAAUACGUAGGGGGCAAGCGUUGUCCGGAAUUAUUGGGCGUAAAGCGCGCGCAGGCGGUCCUUUAAGUCUGAUGUGAAAGCCCACGGCUUAACCGUGGAGGGCCAUUGGAAACUGGAGGACUUGAGUACAGAAGAGGAGAGUGGAAUUCCACGUGUAGCGGUGAAAUGCGUAGAGAUGUGGAGGAACACCAGUGGCGAAGGCGACUCUCUGGUCUGUAACUGACGCUGAGGUGCGAAAGCGUGGGUAGCGAACAGGAUUAGAUACCCUGGUAGUCCACGCCGUAAACGAUGAGUGCUAGGUGUUAGGGGGUU
rnacentral:rRNA from 1 species